rnacentral:rRNA from 1 species
UACGGAGGGUGCAAGCGUUAAUCGGAAUUACUGGGCGUAAAGCGUGCGUAGGUGGUUUGUUAAGUCAGAUGUGAAAGCCCCGGGCUCAACCUGGGAACUGCAUUUGAAACUGGCAAACUAGAGUAUAGGAGAGGAAAGUGGAAUUUCAGGUGUAGCGGUGAAAUGCGUAGAUAUCUGAAGGAACAUCAAUGGCGAAGGCAGCUUUCUGGACUAAUACUGACACUGAGGUACGAAAGCGUGGGUAGCAAACAGGAUUAGAUACCCUGGUAGUCCACGCCGUAAACGAUGACAACUAGCCGUUGGGAGGGUUUACCUCUUAGUGGCGAAGCUAACGCGUUAAGUUGUCCGCC